rnacentral:rRNA from 1 species
UACAGAGGUCCCAAGCGUUGUUCGGAUUCAUUGGGCGUAAAGGGCGUGUAGGUGGCGCCGUAAGUCGGGCGUGAAAUCUCGGGGCUUAACUCCGAAACUGCAUUUGAUACUGGUGUGCUUGAGGACUGGAGAGGAGACUGGAAUUCAUGGUGUAGCAGUGAAAUGCGUAGAGAUCAUGAGGAAGACCAGUGGCGAAGGCGGGUCUCUGGACAGUUCCUGACACUGAGGCACGAAGGCCAGGGGAGCAAA